AGAGUUCGAUCCUGGCUCAGGAUGAACGCUGGCGGCGUGCUUAACACAUGCAAGUCGAACGAGAAAUGAAGACGGAAACCUUCGGGCGGAAGACUUCAUUUCGAGUGGCGGACGGGUGAGUAACGCGUGGGUAACCUGCCUCAUACAGGGGGAUAACAGUUGGAAACGACUGUUAAUACCGCAUAAGACCACAGCACCGCAUGGUGCGGGGGUAAAAACUCCGGUGGUAUGAGAUGGACCCGCGUUCGAUUAGCCAGUUGGCGGGGUAACGGCCCACCAAAGCGACGAUCGAUAGCCGAUCUGAGAGGAUGACCGGCCACAUUGGGACUGAGACACGGCCCAAACUCCUACGGGAGGCAGCAGUGGGGAAUAUUGCACAAUGGGGGAAACCCUGAUGCAGCGACGCCGCGUGAGUGAAGAAGUAUUUCGGUAUGUAAAGCUCUAUCAGCAGGGAAGAAAAUGACGGUACCUGAGUAAGAAGCCCCGGCUAACUACGUGCCAGCAGCCGCGGUAAUACGUAGGGGGCAAGCGUUAUCCGGAUUCAUUGGGCGUAAAGCGCUCGUAGGCGGUCUGUUAGGUCGGGAGUUAAAUCCGGGGGCUCAACCCCCGUUCGCUCCCGAUACCGGCAGACUUGAGUUUGGUAGGGGAAGGUGGAAUUCCUAGUGUAGCGGUGGAAUGCGCAGAUAUUAGGAAGAACACCAGUGGCGAAGGCGGCCUUCUGGGCCAUAACUGACGCUGAGGAGCGAAAGCUAGGGGAGCAAACAGGAUUAGAUACCCUGGUAGUCCUAGCCGUAAACGAUGGACACUAGGUGUGGGGGAAUAUUUCUUCCGUGCCGCAGCUAACGCAUUAAGUGUCCCGCCUGGGGAGUACGGCCGCAAGGCUAAAACUCAAAGGAAUUGACGGGGGCCCGCACAAGCAGCGGAGCAUGUGGUUUAAUUCGAAGCAACGCGAAGAACCUUACCAGGGCUUGACAUUUAGGUGAAGCGGCGGAAACGUCGUGGCCGAAAGGAGCCUAAACAGGUGGUGCAUGGCUGUCGUCAGCUCGUGUCGUGAGAUGUUAGGUUAAGUCCUGCAACGAGCGCAACCCCUAUUUCUAGUUGCCAGCACGUAAUGGUGGGAACUCUAGAAAGACUGCCGGUGAUAAAUCGGAGGAAGGUGGGGACGACGUCAAAUCAUCAUGCCCUUUAUGUCUUGGGCAACACACGUACUACAAUGGCCGUUACAGAGAGAAGCAAUACAGUGAUGUGGAGCAAAACUCAAAAAGCGGUCUCAGUUCGGACUGUAGGCUGAAAUUCGCCUACACGAAGUCGGAAUUGCUAGUAAUGGCAGGUCAGAAUACUGCCGUGAAUACGUUCCCGGGCCUUGUACACACCGCCCGUCACACCAUGAGAGUUAGAAAUACCCGAAGCCUGUGAGCUAACAGUUUAAUAUUGAGGCAGCAGUCGAAGGCAGAGCUAAUGAUUGGGGUGAAGUCGUAACAAGGUAGCCGUAGGAGAACCUGCGGCUG
rnacentral:rRNA from 1 species